AGUGAACGCUGGCGGUAGGCCUAACACAUGCAAGUCGAACGGCAGCACAGUAAGCGCUUGCCCUUACGGUUGGCGGGUGGCGGACGGGUGAGGAAUACAUCGGAUUCUACUUUUUCGGGGGGGAAAACGUGGGAAAACUAACGCUAAUACCGCAUACUACCUACGGGUGAAAGCAGGGGAUCUUCGGACCUUGCGCGAUUGAAUGAGCUGAUGUCGCAUUAGCUAGUUGGCGGGGUAAAGGCCCACCAAGGCGACGAUCCGUAGCUGGUCUGAGAGGAUGAUCAGCCACACUGGAACUGAGACACGGUCCAGACUCCUACGGGAGGCAGCAGUGGGGAAUAUUGGACAAUGGGCGCAAGCCUGAUCCAGCCAUACCGCGUGGGUGAAGAAGGCCUUCGGGUUGUAAAGCCCUUUUGUUGGGAAAGAAAAGCAGCAGGUUAAUACCCCGCUGUUCUGACGGUACCCAAAGAAUAAGCACCGGCUAACUUCGUG
rnacentral:rRNA from 1 species